ACUCUUCGCUUCCCGGUCGGAAACAUCAAAAUCCUUCCCCCGGCGGCCUCGGGCGCUGAGACAAAGCAACAACAUGACGGACCUGGGAGCGCUGGUCACCAACAUCGAGCUGAGCAGCCGGGCCGGCGGCCGCAGCACCGUCACCUUUCCCACCCUCAAGGAGCUUUCGGUCACGGAUGUCGUUGCUAUUUGGAGCCGCGUGUCCGAGCACGUCCAGCAGCAGCUCAUGCAGAAAAAGCCCCGCGCGGCCAGUGUGGCGGGACUGGGCACGUUCCACAUUCAGAAGUGGCUCUCGUUCGAGGACGGCGCGGUGCUGACGUUCCACAGGCCCGUGUUCGCGCUGGCCGGGGCCGUCGCGCAGGUCCGUGAGCUGCAACACGCCUCCAUUCCUGCUCCUGAUGAGAUGAAGACAGUGUCCGUGAGCCACAGGAAGAUCCGCUCGGACGUCCCGUAUCCCGAGCAGCUCGUGCAGAACUGCAUGCAGGAGACCCUCGACUUUUUCUACUUCAUCCUCACCAACAGAGAAGACGCGGACUUCACGUUAAAGGGCCUCGGCACCCUCGCUAUCCGCGGCACAGCGGCGACCAUGGCGUUUUCCGAAGACUUUUUACUCACCCUCAACAAGUCUACGUACGUGGUAGAGAAGCUGCUCACUCAGAGAUGGGUCACGUCGGACAGGGAAGUCGCCUUCGCCCCGAGCCGCUUUGGCCGCGUCCACCAGUUUCCACAGUUUGAGAUCCGGGCAGUGCCUCGGGGGGCUGCUCGCACAGACGAAUUCAGAGUGUUCGAGAGUCUUUUGAGCAGCAUGGGACUAGGAGUGGCCGUUCAGCGCGUCCUACAGCUGCUGAGGAAGGGCCGUUCUCCAGAGCGCCCGGCCAGAGCGGGGGCGCAGGAAGAAACCCACGAGGAAACGGAGAGAAAAGGGUCUUCGGGCAGGCUGUUGCGGCUCCGCGCGAGCAGGGAUGGAGGGCGGCACGGAGAAUCUCUUUCUGGGAGCCCCGAAUUUCCGUGGCCUGCUCCCGAACAGGGGCACACAGGACAGAAAAGACAAUCUGUGUUUGGGCUGAACAGCAGAAGGAAACUGGAGGCGUCCACGGCCAGAUGGAGGGAGAAAGAAGAGAACGGAAGGGCAGGAGCGGUCACGUCGCCUCAGCAGCGAGCGGGGAGAGGCGGCGGCGGGACGCGGGUGCGGAGCAUGAACAGGACGCUGUUUUCUGGGGGGCAGCACCGCGUUGGGAAGCUGCCCCAGGAGGAGGAGGACGAGUCCGGCUCUGAUGAAGCACAAUAUCUACAGAUGGCCUGGACCGAGGCCAGGAGGAAGUUUCGAGCCGAGCUGGAAAGCUUAGGGGACGUUAAAAAAUGGCUGAGCAACAAACCCUCCCUCAGCGCCCAAGAAAUAAGAUACUUGCGAAGAAUAAAGGCCAACAGGAGGGCUGCUCUCGAGGCGGCCGCGACCGGCAGCCUGGACGUAAGUACGGAAUUGCCUGGGAAACAGCGUCUGGCGCUGCUCUAUCGCAGCUGGCGGCACAUUAACAGGACGCAGACAGCCCCAGAGAACACGAGAAGAGCCGCGUGGCGCGGUGCGGGGACGGCCCCAUCGACAAGCACUGCCUGCCCUCCACCGUGGCGACCGACCUGGGCGAACUGCUGGACCGGUACCGCAGGAAAGCUCUUGAGAGCUACCUGGGCAGCUCCGCGCGGUGCAGGGAGCGUGACGUUCGCAUCACCGAGCCAACGCUGCAGAGAGGACUGCUGCACCCGGGAGACAGGACCAUGGGGGACGGAGGAGAGCUGAGGAUCCGGCAGCCCGGGGGGUACUACGGCGUGGGCGGCGCUGAGGGCGCCGCAGCCGGGAGCAGCUCCAGAGCGGGACGGGAAUCCCGCAGCCAGGCCAAGAAGGCGAAAAAGAGGUCUCUUCGCAGGAAUAAGAAACAACAGUCAAGCGACAAUAACUUCUGGCCGGGUCACCUCCUGGACAAGCUCUGCCUUUACUUCCCCGAAGAGCAGCAGGACAGGGCGCACCCCUUGUUCAGCCGCGUUCACCCCGCCAAACCCGCCCACCGCUGCGUCUUCUAAGCCCCCCGGCCCCGGGGCCCGCGGCUUUCAGGAGCAGCUCCCCCGCAGCUCUCUCGGAGCAGACGUGCGCAGGGCUCCGCGAUCCCUCGCUCCGCUUGGGGACCCGCUGCUGCACAAAUAAACGGAUUCACCGCGGAGCCUCUGCUCAACAUGAAGGCGUAGGGGGGAACGUGGUGUGUGAGUUUCCCACCUCGGAGAGCCCUGGAAACACCGUCCUUUUCCCAGUAAAACAUUUCUAGCUUGCCUUUGGAGCAAGCAGACCGCCGCCCCCCUGCCAGCGGCUCCAGACGCCACAGGCAGGGUUUUUAGGCGGUGAAACUGAGUUUAACUCUUCAAAGCAAAGUCUACGAUGCCGCCAGCAGUGCGCAGGGAUAAGGCGAUGCCUGCGGCGCGCUCACAGCGCUCAGCGCUGAACCGCAGGGAGGAAAACGGGACCUUCCUUAUGGCUGGAGGCACCACGGUUAUGCUAUAGUUGAAUUGAGUUUCGUGGGCUGUGCUUUGAUUCUAUAGACCAUACCCAGGAUUCCUACCUUGUCUUAAAGGCUAUGCAGGUUGUAAACGAGCUCAUCUUUUAGAGAACUGAAAGUUAGUACUUAUCUCGAGAGAAUAAGAUGUGCUGAGAAGGUACAUUUGCUAUCAUCCAAGAAUUCAUAUAAUUUCGUGAAUAGUGCGCAUGCGCUGUGACAAAAGGUGACAAGUACACUAGUGAUGAAGACUACUUACUUCAUCCUGCAGAGCCCACAACGACCACCAGAGGACACUGCGCGUGCGUAGAGGAGUUCCAAGGUGUUGCAACUGAUAUUGUGAAGUAAUUGUGUAAUCUAAUGAAGAUGCAAUAUACGCGUUGAAACUCUGCUGAAUACGUAUGUAACCAAAUUGUAUAAAUACAGUGGAGUUCGACUCAGUGGUGGAAGCUUUGGGUGCGAACCCCUGGUUUCCCAGCGCUGAAAUAAAGCGCCGCAUAGAGCUCC